CGAUGGGAUACCUAAAUUUCCCAUGGCGAACUGCUCAGUAACACAUGAUCAACUUGCCCUAUAGAGAGAAAUAACCUCGGGAAACUGAGGAUAAUUUUUCAUAGUUGAAUUGGCUUGGAAAAGUUUUUCAAUAAAAAGGAUAAAGAGAAUGGUCUUUAUUCGCUAUAGGAUAGGAUCGUGUUCGAUUAUGGUAGUUGGUGAGGUAAAGGCUCACCAAGCCGAUAAUCGAUAGGGGCCGUGAGAGCGGGAGCCCCGAGAUGGGUACUGAGACAACGACCCAGGCCUCACGAGGCGCAGCAGGCGCGAAACCUCCACAAUACACGAAAGUGUGAUGGGGUUACCCAAAGUGUUCAAUAUUGAACUGUGGUAGGUGAGUAAUGUUCCCUACUAGAAAGGAGAGGGCAAGGCUGGUGCCAGCCGCCGCGGUAAAACCAGCUCUUCAAGUGGUCGGGAUAAUUAUUGGGCUUAAAGUGUCCGUAGCCGGUUUAGUAAGUUCCUGGUAAAAUCGGGUAGCUUAACUAUCUAUAUGCUAGGAAUACUACUAUACUAGAGGGCGGGAGAGGUCUGAGGUACUACAGGGGUAGGGGUGAAAUCUUAUAAUCCUUGUAGGACCACCAGUGGCGAAGGCGUCAGACUGGAACGCGCCUGACGGUGAGGGACGAAAGCCAGGGGAGCGAACCGGAUUAGAUUCCCGGGUAGUCCUGGCUGUAAACGAUGCAUACUAGGUGAUGGUACGGCCAUGAGCCGUGUCAGUGCCGUAGGGAAACCGUUAAGUGUGCCGCCUGGGAAGUACGGUCGCAAGGCUAAAACUUAA
rnacentral:rRNA from 1 species